UGGGAUUAUUGUGGUCCACUGCCUGGGU
rnacentral:piRNA from 1 species